rnacentral:rRNA from 1 species
GGGUUGUGAGGUUAAGCGACUAAGCGUACACGGUGGAUGCCCUGGCAGUCAGAGGCGAUGAAGGACGUGCUAAUCUGCGAUAAGCGUCGGUAAGGUGAUAUGAACCGUUAUAACCGGCGAUUUCCGAAUGGGGAAACCCAGUGUGUUUCGACACACUAUCAUUAACUGAAUCCAUAGGUUAAUGAGGCGAACCGGGGGAACUGAAACAUCUAAGUACCCCGAGGAAAAGAAAUCAACCGAGAUUCCCCCAGUAGCGGCGAGCGAACGGGGAGCAGCCCAGAGCCUGAAUCAGUGUGUGUGUUAGUGGAAGCGUCUGGAAAGGCGCGCGAUACAGGGUGACAGCCCCGUACACAAAAAUGCACAUGCUGUGAGCUCGAUGAGUAGGGCGGGACACGUGGUAUCCUGUCUGAAUAUGGGGGGACCAUCCUCCAAGGCUAAAUACUCCUGACUGACCGAUAGUGAACCAGUACCGUGAGGGAAAGGCGAAAAGAACCCCGGCGAGGGGAGUGAAAAAGAACCUGAAACCGUGUACGUACAAGCAGUGGGAGCCUCUUUAUGGGGUGACUGCGUACCUUUUGUAUAAUGGGUCAGCGACUUAUAUUCUGUAGCAAGGUUAACCGAAUAGGGGAGCCGAAGGGAAACCGAGUCUUAACUGGGCGUUAAGUUGCAGGGUAUAGACCCGAAACCCGGUGAUCUAGCCAUGGGCAGGUUGAAGGUUGGGUAACACUAACUGGAGGACCGAACCGACUAAUGUUGAAAAAUUAGCGGAUGACUUGUGGCUGGGGGUGAAAGGCCAAUCAAACCGGGAGAUAGCUGGUUCUCCCCGAAAGCUAUUUAGGUAGCGCCUCGUGAAUUCAUCUCCGGGGGUAGAGCACUGUUUCGGCAAGGGGGUCAUCCCGACUUACCAACCCGAUGCAAACUGCGAAUACCGGAGAAUGUUAUCACGGGAGACACACGGCGGGUGCUAACGUCCGUCGUGAAGAGGGAAACAACCCAGACCGCCAGCUAAGGUCCCAAAGUCAUGGUUAAGUGGGAAACGAUGUGGGAAGGCCCAGACAGCCAGGAUGUUGGCUUAGAAGCAGCCAUCAUUUAAAGAAAGCGUAAUAGCUCACUGGUCGAGUCGGCCUGCGCGGAAGAUGUAACGGGGCUAAACCAUGCACCGAAGCUGCGGCAGCGACGCUUAUGCGUUGUUGGGUAGGGGAGCGUUCUGUAAGCCUGUGAAGGUGUGCUGUGAGGCAUGCUGGAGGUAUCAGAAGUGCGAAUGCUGACAUAAGUAACGAUAAAGCGGGUGAAAAGCCCGCUCGCCGGAAGACCAAGGGUUCCUGUCCAACGUUAAUCGGGGCAGGGUGAGUCGACCCCUAAGGCGAGGCCGAAAGGCGUAGUCGAUGGGAAACAGGUUAAUAUUCCUGUACUUGGUGUUACUGCGAAGGGGGGACGGAGAAGGCUAUGUUGGCCGGGCGACGGUUGUCCCGGUUUAAGCGUGUAGGCUGAUUUUCCAGGCAAAUCCGGAAAAUCAAGGCUGAGGCGUGAUGACGAGGCACUACGGUGCUGAAGCAACAAAUGCCCUGCUUCCAGGAAAAGCCUCUAAGCAUCAGGUAACAUCAAAUCGUACCCCAAACCGACACAGGUGGUCAGGUAGAGAAUACCAAGGCGCUUGAGAGAACUCGGGUGAAGGAACUAGGCAAAAUGGUGCCGUAACUUCGGGAGAAGGCACGCUGAUAUGUAGGUGAAGUCCCUCGCGGAUGGAGCUGAAAUCAGUCGAAGAUACCAGCUGGCUGCAACUGUUUAUUAAAAACACAGCACUGUGCAAACACGAAAGUGGACGUAUACGGUGUGACGCCUGCCCGGUGCCGGAAGGUUAAUUGAUGGGGUCAGCGCAAGCGAAGCUCUUGAUCGAAGCCCCGGUAAACGGCGGCCGUAACUAUAACGGUCCUAAGGUAGCGAAAUUCCUUGUCGGGUAAGUUCCGACCUGCACGAAUGGCGUAAUGAUGGCCAGGCUGUCUCCACCCGAGACUCAGUGAAAUUGAACUCGCUGUGAAGAUGCAGUGUACCCGCGGCAAGACGGAAAGACCCCGUGAACCUUUACUAUAGCUUGACACUGAACAUUGAGCCUUGAUGUGUAGGAUAGGUGGGAGGCUUAGAAGUGUGGACGCCAGUCUGCAUGGAGCCGGCCUUGAAAUACCACCCUUUAAUGUUUGAUGUUCUAACGUGGACCCGUAAUCCGGGUUGCGGACAGUGUCUGGUGGGUAGUUUGACUGGGGCGGUCUCCUCCUAAAGAGUAACGGAGGAGCACGAAGGUUGGCUAAUCCUGGUCGGACAUCAGGAGGUUAGUGCAAUGGCAUAAGCCAGCUUGACUGCGAGCGUGACGGCGCGAGCAGGUGCGAAAGCAGGUCAUAGUGAUCCGGUGGUUCUGAAUGGAAGGGCCAUCGCUCAACGGAUAAAAGGUACUCCGGGGAUAACAGGCUGAUACCGCCCAAGAGUUCAUAUCGACGGCGGUGUUUGGCACCUCGAUGUCGGCUCAUCACAUCCUGGGGCUGAAGUAGGUCCCAAGGGUAUGGCUGUUCGCCAUUUAAAGUGGUACGCGAGCUGGGUUUAGAACGUCGUGAGACAGUUCGGUCCCUAUCUGCCGUGGGCGCUGGAGAACUGAGGGGGGCUGCUCCUAGUACGAGAGGACCGGAGUGGACGCAUCACUGGUGUUCGGGUUGUCAUGCCAAUGGCACUGCCCGGUAGCUAAAUGCGGAAGAGAUAAGUGCUGAAAGCAUCUAAGCACGAAACUUGCCCCGAGAUGAGUUCUCCCUGACUCCUUGAGAGUCCUGAAGGAACGUUGAAGACGACGACGUUGAUAGGCCGGGUGUGUAAGCGCAGCGAUGCGUUGAGCUAACCGGUACUAAUGAACCGUGAGGCUUAACCUUACAACGCCGAAG